AUUAGAGUUUGAUCAUGGCUCAGCCCAAUUAUGCCUUUUAACUGUCCGCCCGAUGGCUCAGAAGACAGCACCGGCGCAAAAUGCUGUAACUACAAUUCUCUGCAUCUCUGUUCUUCAAAAGCCUAUGGCAUAUGCUGCCGCGGCAACUUCAAUUCCAGCGGGGGGCGCUCCACGAUGUCAUACGCGGACGCUCCUGGACCCAGGGGUUUUGAUGAUAUCGAGCUGGCUUACCUGGGCAAUCUUCCUGAACUGCAGUGCAAGUCCUCCUCCAUCCUUUCAGGUGGGGUGACUCCCCAAACUGAUUUUCUGGGUAACACGAGGAUUCUUGAUAUUAAUCUCAUGGUCCAAUCCGAUGACACUGUCGAAUCGCGGGGCUUCAGCAUCACUACAGGGCGCCCAACCCAGGAGUCGGUCUUGGCUAGCCUUUCAGGUGAUUACCAAUUGUCAAUCCUUGAUAAAGAUGGGUCAGAAAUAUUUUUGCAACCCUUCAGCCUUUACUUUGAUUAUUUUGGACCUGUUUUUGAUGAAGAGGAUUACUCCACAAUUGGUUACAACGAGCAAGAUUUUUCUCUUCGUCUUCCAUAUUCCUGCGCGAUGAAAACGCUCGUUCUUUAUCACGCAGGGGARGAAAUCUUCUCUCAGGAACUGCCAACCAUUUGCGACAUCUUUAUUCCUAUUCUGAGGAAGUAAGCGCUCUCCGCUCCCACCGGUCUGUACAAUGAUUGCGUCAUGGCAUUAGCCAUGGUAUGGGACGCCUGCCAGAAAAUGUCCGGCUCCAAUACGCUCUUCAUCACCUCCCGGCAGCCCAUUUUCUCCGCCUUCACCCCAGGCACCGCCCAGGUUUGUCCUGCCGCGCCGCCAUUCAAGUUAGCUGUUUGAGUUAUCCGCAACGCCAUGGAGCGUGAGUUUUGCUCGCUGGCCCGCCAGAUGUUAAUCCCACAAAGAAAAGAGACAGAGAGCGCUGCUCUCUGUCUCUGAUAGGGCGGGUGGGGGUCGAACCCACACAGUGUCUCCACCGACGGAUUUUAAGUCCGUUGCGUCUGCCUAUUCCGCCACCGAGGACUUUUCCUCGUUGAAGAUCCCAAUAAUGUCCUGUUUUUCAGUCUCCAAAGCAAAAUAAUAUUGAUAGUCCGUUGCGUUAAGUAUACCCCUUCUUUCUCCUUUCUUCCCCAUUUGUUAAAGAAUGUCCGGUUUCGGACAUUCUUUAACAAAAUUGUCCGCUUUUGACCUCUUGUAUAUUAGCACUUAUGUUCUAUACUAACAUCAACGCAAUAUUCGCGCCCACCAACCAAAGGAGACUUAUUGUUCAUCGCCCAGCACACACCGCCCGU
rnacentral:rRNA from 1 species